CAGUCGCCGCGGUAAUACGGAGGGGGCUAGCGUUGUUCGGAAUUACUGGGCGUAAAGCGCACGUAGGCGGUUUUGUAAGUCAGAGGUGAAAGCCCGGAGCUCAGCUUCGGAACUGCCUUUGAGACUGCAUCACUUGAACGUCGGAGAGGUGAGUGGAAUUCCGAGUGUAGAGGUGAAAUUCGUAGAUAUUCGGAAGAACACCAGUGGCGAAGGCGGCUCACUGGACGACUGUUGACGCUGAGGUGCGAAAGCGUGGGGAGCAAACAGGAUUAGAUACCCCUGUAGUCCCUGUCUCUUAUAC
rnacentral:rRNA from 1 species